GAUGAACGCUAGCGGCAGGCCUAAUACAUGCAAGUCGAACGGUAAGGCCCUUUCGGGGGUACACGAGUGGCGGACGGGUGCGUAACGCGUAUGCAACAUGCCUUCCAGCGGGGGAUAUACCAGGGAAACUUGGCGCAAUACCCCAUAGAAUUACGGGACCGCAUGGUCUUGUGAUUAAAACUCCGGUGCUGGGAGAUUGGCACGCGUGACAUUAGCUAGUUGGCGGGGUAACGGCCCACCAAGGCGACGAUGUCUAGCUGGUCUGAGAGGAUGAUCAGCCACACUGGGACUGAGACACGGCCCAGACUCCUACGGGAGGCAGCAGUA
rnacentral:rRNA from 1 species